GACGAACGCUGGCGGCGUGCCUAAUACAUGCAAGUCGAGCGAAGUUUUUCUGGUGCUUGCACUAGAAAAACUUAGCGGCGAACGGGUGAGUAACACGUAAAGAACCUGCCUCAUAGACUGGGACAACUAUUGGAAACGAUAGCUAAUACCGGAUAACAGUAUUUCUCGCAUGAGAGAUAUUUAAAAGUUGGUUAUGCUAACACUAUGAGAUGGCUUUGCGGUGCAUUAGCUAGUUGGUGGGGUAAAGGCCCACCAAGGCGACGAUGCAUAGCCGACCUGAGAGGGUGAUCGGCCACACUGGGACUGAGACACGGCCCAGACUCCUACGGGAGGCAGCAGUAGGGAAUCUUCCGCAAUGGGCGAAAGCCUGACGGAGCAACGCCGCGUGAGCGAAGAAGGAUUUCGGUUCGUAAAGCUCUGUUGUUAGGGAAGAAUGGAUAUGUAGUAACUAUACAUGUAAGAGACGGUACCUAACCAGAAAGCCACGGCUAACUACGUG
rnacentral:rRNA from 1 species